UACAGAGGUCUCAAGCGUUGUUCGGAUUCAUUGGGCGUAAAGGGUGCGUAGGUGGCGGGGUAAGUCAGGUGUGAAAUCUCGGGGCUCAACCCCGAAACUGCAUUUGAUACUGGCGUGCUUGAGGACUGGAGAGGAGACUGGAAUUCAUGGUGUAGCAGUGAAAUGCGUAGAGAUCAUGAGGAAGACCAGUGGCGAAGGCGGGUCUCUGGACAGUUCCUGACACUGAGGCACGAAGGCCAGGGGAGCAAACGGG
rnacentral:rRNA from 1 species